rnacentral:rRNA from 1 species
AGCAGUGGGGAAUAUUGCACAAUGGGCGAAAGCCUGAUGCAGCAACGCCGCGUGAGGGAUGACGGCCUUCGGGUUGUAAACCUCUUUUAGCAGGGAAGAAGCGAAAGUGACGGUACCUGCAGAAAAAGCGCCGGCUAACUACGUGCCAGCAGCCGCGGUAAUACGUAGGGCGCAAGCGUUAUCCGGAAUUAUUGGGCGUAAAGAGCUCGUAGGCGGUUUGUCGCGUCUGCUGUGAAAUCCCGAGGCUCAACCUCGGGCCUGCAGUGGGUACGGGCAGACUAGAGUGCGGUAGGGGAGAUUGGAAUUCCUGGUGUAGCGGUGGAAUGCGCAGAUAUCAGGAGGAACACCGAUGGCGAAGGCAGAUCUCUGGGCCGUAACUGACGCUGAGGAGCGAAAGGGUGGGGAGCAAACAGGCUUAGAUACCCUGGUAGUCCACCCCGUAAACGUUGGGAACUAGUUGUGGGGACCAUUCCACGGUUUCCGUGACGCAGCUAACGCA